UACGUAGGGGCUAGCGUUAUCCGGAAUUACUGGGCGUAAAGGGUGCGUAGGUGGUUUCUUAAGUCAGAGGUGAAAGGCUACGGCUCAACCGUAGUAAGCCUUUGAAACUGAGAAACUUGAGUGCAGGAGAGGAGAGUAGAAUUCCUAGUGUAGCGGUGAAAUGCGUAGAUAUUAGGAGGAACACCAGUUGCGAAGGCGGCUCUCUGGACUGUAACUGACACUGAGGCACGAAAGCGUGGGGAGCAAACAGGAUUAGAUACCCGGGUAGUCCCUGAG
rnacentral:rRNA from 1 species